rnacentral:lncRNA from 1 species
AGUCAUUCUCUACCAUGUCUGAGCUUGACUUCCUGAGUUACGGUGACAUUGGUCUACAGGUGAUGACUAGUGGAAAGAGGGACAACAAUAUCUCUCUGGAAUUCUCUCUCCUUUUCAUCGCUCUCUCCCCCUUUCUCUCUCCUUCCUUUCCCCCUUUCUCUCUCCCUCUCUCUCCCCCCUUUCUCUCUCCCUCCUCUCCCCCUUUCUCUCUCCCUCCUCUCCCCCUUUCUCUCUCCCUCUCUCUCCCCCCUUUCUCUCUCCCUCCUCUCCCCCUUUCUCUCUCCCUCCUCUCCCCCUUUCUCUCUCCCUCCUCUCCCCCCUUUCUCUCUCCCUCUCUCCCCCCUUUCUCUCUCCCUCCUCUCCCUCCUCUCUCUCUCCCUCUCUCCCCCUUUCUCUCUCCCUCCUCUCCCCCUUUCUCUCUCCCUCCUCUCCCCCUUCUCUCUCCCUCUCUCUCCCCCCUUUCCCUCUCCCUCCUCUCCCCCCUUUCUCUCUCCCUCCUCUCCCCCCUUUCUCUCUCCCUCUCUCUCCCCCCUUUCUCUCUCCCUCCUCUCCCUCCUCUCUCUCUCCCUCCUCUCCCCCUUUCUCUCUCCCUCCUCUCCCCCCUUUCUCUCUCCCUCUCUCUCCCCCCUUUCUCUCUCCCUCCUCUCCCCCUUCUCUCUCCCUCUCUCUCCCCCCUUUCCCUCCUCUCCCCCCUUUCUCUCUCCCUCCUUUCUCUCUCCUUCAUCUCCCCCUUUCUCUCUCCCUCCUCUCCCCCUUCUCUCUCCCUCUCUCUCCCCCCAUUCCCUCCUCUCCCCCCUUUCUCUCUCCCCCCUUUCUCUCUCCCUCCUCUCCCCCUUCUCUCUCCCUCUCUCUCCCUCCUUUCCCUCCUCUCCCCCCUUUCUCUCUCCCUCCUUUCUCUCUCCUUCAUCUCUCCCCUUUCUAUCCCCCUCCUCUCCCCCUUCUCUCUCCCUCUCUCUCCCCCCUUUCCCUCCUCUCCCCCCUUUCUCUUUCUCUCUCCCUCCUUUCUCUCUCCCUCCUCUCCCCCUUUCUCUCUCCCUCCUUUCUCUCUCUCUCCUCUCCCCCCUUUCUUUCUCCCCCCUUUCUCUUUCCCUCCUCUCCCCCCUUUCUCUCUGCCCCCUUUCUCUCUCCCUCAUCUCCCCCUUCCUCUCUCCCUCCUCUCU